rnacentral:rRNA from 1 species
UACGUAGGGUGCAAGCGUUGUCCGGAUUUAUUGGGCGUAAAGAGCUCGUAGGCGGUUUGUCGCGUCUGCUGUGAAAGACCGGGGCUCAACUCCGGUUCUGCAGUGGGUACGGGCAGACUAGAGUGCAGUAGGGGAGACUGGAAUUCCUGGUGUAGCGGUGAAAUGCGCAGAUAUCAGGAGGAACACCGAUGGCGAAGGCAGGUCUCUGGGCUGUAACUGACGCUGAGGAGCGAAAGCAUGGGGAGCGAACAGG